rnacentral:rRNA from 1 species
AUGAUGGACGACGAGAAGAACAAGCAGCUGGCGGAGUACUCCAGUGCGGCUAAAGUAUUUGCUGCUCCGGCGAGUUCGUCGUACCCACGAUUUGAUCGCGAGAACUUCGGGGUGUGGAAGGCCCUCAUGGAGUGUGGUCUCCGCGCCAACAAGCUAUGGGACGCGGUCGACCCAGGAGGCGACGCCUUCAAGAACGAGGGAGCCGAGCACCGGAAGGAUCGGCAGGCGGCGUCGGCGAUUUACUCGGUGAUGCCAAUGGAUGUCCUCCAGCACCUAAUCGCCAAAGCAACGGCGAAGGAGGUGUGGGAUACGCUGAAGCUCAUGUUUGAGGGACACACCCGCGUCAAGCAAGCCAAUCUCCAAACUCUCCUAAGGAACUACGAGACUUUGGUCAUGGGCGACGAUGAGUCCGUGGAUGCGUUUGCUUCAUGA